rnacentral:rRNA from 1 species
UACGUAGGGUGCAAGCGUUGUCCGGAAUUAUUGGGCGUAAAGAGCUCGUAGGCGGUCUGUCGCGUCGGCUGUGAAAACCCGGGGCUCAACCCCGGGCCUGCAGUCGAUACGGGCAGACUAGAGUGCGGUAGGGGAGACUGGAAUUCCUGGUGUAGCGGUGAAAUGCGCAGAUAUCAGGAGGAACACCGGUGGCGAAGGCGGGUCUCUGGGCCGAAAUUGACGCUGAGGAGCGAAAGCGUGGGGAGCAAACAGG